rnacentral:rRNA from 1 species
GAUGAACGCUGGCGGCGUGCCUAAUACAUGCAAGUCGAGCGAACGGACGAGAAGCUUGCUUUUCUGAUGUUAGCGGCGGACGGGUGAGUAACACGUGGAUAACCUACCUAUAAGACUGGGAUAACUUCGGGAAACCGGAGCUAAUACCGGAUAAUAUUUUGAACCGCAUGGUUCAAAAGUGAAAGACGGUCUUGCUGUCACUUAUAGAUGGUUCCGUGCUGCAUUAGCUAGUUGGUAAGGUAACGGCUUACCAAGGCAACGAUGCAUAGCCGACCUGAGAGGGUGAUCGGCCACACUGGAACUGGGACACGGUCCAGACUCCUACGGGAGGCGGCAGUAGGGAAUCUUCCGCAAUGGGCGAAAGCCUGACGGAGCAACGCCGCGUGAGUGAUGAAGGUCUUCGGAUCGUAAAACUCUGUUAUUAGGGAAGAACAUAUGUGUAAGUAACUGUGCACAUCUUGACGGUACCUAAUCAGAAAGCCACGGCUAACUACGUG